rnacentral:rRNA from 1 species
UCAAGCGAACAAGGGCGCAGGGCGAAUGCCUUGGCACUGGGAGCCGAUGAAAGACGUGAUAAGCUGCGAUAAGCUUCGGGGAGCUGCAAAUAAGCAUUGAUCCGGAGAUUUCUGAAUGAGGAAACUCACCUGGGUUCAUACUCAGGUACGUUAUACUGAACUUCAAAAUAGGUAUAUCGAGGGAACCGCCUGAACUGAAACAUCUAAGUAGGGCGAGGAAGAGACAUCAAACGAGAUUCCGUAAGUAGUGGCGAGCGAACGCGGAAGAGGGCAAACCGAGAGUAGAAAUACUUUCGGGGUACGGAGCGCAUUUAGGACUUAAGUUGUUAACCGAACGGCAUGGGAAGGCCGGUCAGAGAGUGUGAGAACCACGUAGGUGAAAACGGAGAGAGCUGCGCAGGAUCCAGAGUACGGCCAGACACGUGAAACCUGGUCGGAAUAUGGGGGGACCACCCUCCAACCCUAAAUACUACCCAGUGACCGAUAGCGUAUAGUACUGUGAAGGAAAGGUGAAAAGCACCCCGGGAGGGGAGUGAAAAAGAACCUGAAACCCUGUGCUUACAAGCACCUAGAGCACGUCAAUGUGUGAUAGGGUACUUUUUGUAGAACGGUCCGGCGAGCGAUUGUAUGCAGCAAGGUUAAGGACUUAAGGUCUGGAGCCGAAGCGAAAGCGAGUUUGAAAAGGGCGUUAAGUUGCAUACAAUGGGCCCGAAACCGGGUGACCUACCCAUGGUCAGGUUGAAGUGGAAGUAAAAUUCCAUGGAGGACCGAACCGACCUCCGUUGAAAAGGCGGCGGAUGAACUGUGGGUAGCGGAGAAAUUCCAAUCGAACCCGGAGAUAGCUGGUUCUCCCCGAAAUAGUUUUAGGACUAGCCUCAAGUUAGAUACCUGGAGGUAAAGCACUGAAUAGCCUAGCGGCCGAGAGGUUAGCGAAGCUUAUCAAACUCAGAAUGCCAGAGUAUUGAUGCUUGGGAGUCAGACAGUGUCAGAUAAAUGUCAUUGUCAAAAGGGAAACAGCCCAGAUCUACAGCUAAGGUCCCAAAGUCAGGUUAAGUGGAAAACGAUGUGAAGAUACGUAGACAACCAGGAUGUUGGCUCAGAAGCAGCCACACAUUCAAAGAGUGCGUAAUAGCUCACUGGUCGAGCGUCUUUGCGCGGAGAAUUUAACGGGGCUAAACCUGACACCGAAGCUUAGGCAAUACAGCAAUGUAUUGGGUAGGGGAGCGUUGUAUACGCGGUGAAACAGUAGCGCAAGCGGCUGUGGAGUGUAUAGAAGUGAGAAUGCCGGAAUGAGUAGCGCGAAUGCAGUGAGAAUCUGCAUGGCCGAAAGCCUCAGGUUUCUGGAGGAAGGUUCGUCCGCUCCAGGUUAGUCGGGAGCUAAGGUGAGGCCUAACGGCGUAGCCGAUGCACAGACGGUAGAGAUUCCGUCACCACCAAAAGAGUUAAACACAGGGACACAUAUGAAGUCUCAGAGCCGGGUGUUGGUUCCGGUAGAGAUCGAGGGAAAUUAGUACCGAAGUCUGAGAUGGAAGAUGGCGAGAAAAGCUGUGUGUAUUUCUGAGGUGCCCGUACCGCAAACCGACACAGGUAGGUAGGAAGAAGAUUCUAAGGCCAACGGGAGAAGGGUUGUUAAGGAACUCGGCAAGUUGACCCCGUAACUUCGGAAUAAGGGGUGCUCACGAGAGUGAGCCGCAGAGAAUAGGCCCAGGCAACUGUUUACCAAAAACACAGGUUUGUGCUAAAUCGAAAGAUGACGUAUACGAGCUGACGCCUGCCCGGUGCUGGAAGGUUAAGAGGAGAUGUGCAAGCAUUGAAUCGAAGCCCCAGUGAACGGCGGCCGUAACUAUAACGGUCCUAAGGUAGCGAAAUUCCUUGUCAGGUAAGUUCUGACCCGCACGAAAGGCGUAAUGAUUUGGGCACUGUCUCAACAGCCCGCCCGGCGAAAUUGUAGUACCGGUGAAGAUGCCGGUUACCCGCGACAAGACG